rnacentral:rRNA from 2 species
UUUUUGGAGAGUUUGAUCCUGGCUCAGGACGAACGCUGGCGGCGUGCCUAAUACAUGCAAGUCGAGCGAAUCUGAUGGGAGCUUGCUCCUUUUCAGAUUAGCGGCGGACGGGUGAGUAACACGUGGGUAACCUGCCUGUAAGACUGGGAUAACUCCGGGAAACCGGGGCUAAUACCGGAUAACUUUUUUCUUCGCAUGAAGGAGAAUUGAAAGGUGGCACUAGCUACCACUUACAGAUGGACCCGCGGCGCAUUAGCUAGUUGGUGAGGUAACGGCUCACCAAGGCGACGAUGCGUAGCCGACUUGAGAGGGUGAUCGGCCACACUGGGACUGAGACACGGCCCAGACUCCUACGGGAGGCAGCAGUAGGGAAUCUUCCGCAAUGGACGAAAGUCUGACGGAGCAACGCCGCGUGAGUGAUGAAGGUUUUCGGAUCGUAAAACUCUGUUGUUAGGGAAGAACAAGUAUCGUUCGAAUAGGGCGGUACCUUGACGGUACCUAAC